CUUUCAGUUUAACUUGAAACACUGACCAGCACGCUUGUUUCAAAGGCACCGACAUCCCUGCGUGAAGUAUAAGGCAGCGCAUCACGUUAUACAAAAAUCUCUAACGUACAAUUAUUCGAGGAGAGUUCCAGUCUUUGGAAAUGUGUCAGCGGAUAAUCAGCGUGAUUACCAUAAUAUCUCUUCUAUCAUCAUUUGCUCUUAACUGGCAUGUGAAACCCGUGCAGGCGGGGCUUGUCUCUACCCAAGGAGCCUCAGAGAGCAGU